AUACUUACCUGGCAGGGGCGAUACCAUGAUCACGAAGGUGGUUCACCCAGGGUGAGGCUUUGCCAUUGCACUUGGGUGGUCCUGAUCCUUGCGAAUUCCCCAAAUGCGGGAAUCUCGACUGCAUAAUUUCUGGUAGUGGGGGACUGCGUUCGCGCUCUCCCCUG
ensembl:snRNA U1 U1 spliceosomal RNA